rnacentral:pre_miRNA from 1 species
CAUGUACUCCCUCCGUCCGGAAAUACUUGUCAUCAAAAUGAAUAAAAGGGGAUGUAUUUAGAUGUAUUUUAGUUUUAGAUACAUCCUUUUUUGUCCAUUUUGAUGACAAGUAUUUUCGGACGGAGGGAGUACGUG